UUGUUCAGAUGAGAGCUAGAGGACAGCGUACUCCUGAUGAGCUCUAAUGGCACAAUUAUACUGAAUUUCCUGUUUCUUCAGGUUUUUUGAACGAUGUGGCUCCUACGUAGAAGGAAUUGCUAUAGAGGUACCACCUCUCCUUGCAGCAGUGAAGAGGAGAUGCUCAUUACUGAUGCAAAGGAAAAUUGAGACAGGAUCUUGGUUUCAACCAAUUGGUAACUGGACAAUCUGUAUUUCUCUAAAAUACAACAUUACAAAUCAGCGUAGUGCUUUGCAAGUUAGAAUGAUUCUGACUUUUCACAGUUUGGAGUUAAAUACAGACUUCAAGAUCUUCAUUUUGAAAACACUUAGCAGAAUGACAUCUAACUGAAGGGAGAUGGAAAGGACUCAGUUCCCAAUUAUAUUUCUCCUGUGGCUGACUUUCAAUAGAAAGGCUUUUCUUGUGAUGUCAGAGAAGGCACUGAUGCAAGAAGUACAAAGAAGUUCAGACCUGCAUGGUAUAAAAAGCUUUCAGAAAGCAGGUGGGAAAAAGAUAACGAACAAAACUUCAGUACAUAUGCAGAACUAAGUAUCUUAAAUGUUUUAAGGACUGUAGAUUGUGUGUUCUCCUAGAAAUAUUUCCUUCAGAGCAAAAAAAAGAUAAUCAUAUAAGCAAUGUGGUUUGUGGUAAAUACAUACUUCAAUUUUAGACAAGAAGCACAGAAAUAUGGAUGGAAAUUCUUUACUGGCAGAGUAACACUCAAUGUUGGUGAUGGUAAUAUGGUUCUACUGCUGAAGAUUUAUUGCUACAUUUGGUCAGCAUCCAUAAUCAACUUCAAGAUGCUUAGUUUAUGCUGUUAUGUCCAGAAAAUGUUAUAGUACAUGCAUGUAGCUUUGCUCAGGUAUUUUAUUAACUGAACUAUUCAGACUGGCAAAACACUUAAGUUAUUUGCUGGGUUGGAUGGAAUAACCUGCAGUAUACACAUAUUCUAGGUGCACAUUUUAAAAUAAUUUACUUUAAAAAAUUGUGUGACAUUCAUUCUUCUGUAUCUUGGAAAAUAUAUAUAGGUCUUAUUGUUUUAUGGUUUAUUUCCUUUUGUUUUUCUAGAUCUAUUUGUUUUAAAUUGUAAGUAACAUACAUAGAAAUUCUAAGGAGAAUAGCUCAAAAAGAAACACAAGUUUUACCAGUAAAAAAAUCAAUAUAACUGAAUCUAAUGUAUCAGUUAGUACAGAGAAAAUUGUUUUUUAGUGUAUCCAAAGCAAUUACUUUUUGGAAAGCUCAUGUUAUUUAAAAGCUUUGUGAAAGAAUGAGGUUUUAGCUUUAAGUAAGGAGUGAGUUUCCUGUGGAAAGUAAUAAAUUUUACCAGAAAUUUAAUUUUCUUGUUUUAAGGACAUGAGAAAUAAUAUAAAAUUUGACAAGUAUUUUA